UACGUAGGGGGCGAGCGUUGUCCGGAUUCAUUGGGCGUAAAGAGCUCGUAGGCGGUUCGGCAAGUCGGGUGUGAAAACUCCAGGCUCAACCUGGAGACGCCACCCGAUACUGCUGUGACUCGAGUCCGGUAGGGGACCACGGAAUUCCUGGUGUAGCGGUGAAAUGCGCAGAUAUCAGGAAGAACACCAAUGGCGAAGGCAGCUCUCUGGGACGGUACUGACGCUGAGACGCGAAAGCGUGGGGAGCGAACAGG
rnacentral:rRNA from 1 species